GACGAACGCUGGCGGCGUGCUUAACACAUGCAAGUCGAACGGAAAGGCCCUGCUUUUGUGGGGUGCUCGUGUGGCGAACGGGUGAGUAACACGUGAGUAACCUGCCCUUGACUUUGGGAUAACUUCAGGAAACUGGGGCUAAUACCGGAUAGGAGAUCCUGCUGCAUGGGGGGGGUUGGAAAGUGUCGGCGGUUGGGGAUGGAAUCGAGGCUUAUGCGCUUGUUGGUGGGGUAGUGGCUUUCCAAGGCUUUGACGGGUAGCCGGCCUGGGAGGGUGACCGGCCACAUUGGGACUGAGAGACGGCCCAGAAGCCUACGGGAGGCAGCAGUGGGGAAUAUUGCGCAAUGGGCGGAAGCCUGAUGCAGCAACGCCGCGUGCGGGAUGACGGCCUUCGGGUUGUAAACCACUUUCGCCGGUGACGAGGCGUGAGUGACGGUAAUGGGUAAAGAAGCACCGGCUAACUACGUG
rnacentral:rRNA from 1 species